UCCGGUUUGACACCGGCAGUCUCGCUAGAGUCCUCACCAUUACGUGUUAGCAACUAGCGACAAGGGUUGCGCUCGUUAAGGGACUUAACCCGACACUUCACAGCACGAGCUGACGACAGCCAUGCAGCACCUGUGCUAGUUCCACCCUUGCGGGCGUCAUUCCUGUUUCCAGGAACUAAUCCUAGCAUGUCAAACCCGGGUAAGGUUCUUCGCGUUGCUUCGAAUUAAGCAACAUGCUCCACCGCUUGUGUGAGCCCCCGUCAAUUCCUUUGAGUUUUAGCCUUGCGACCGUACUCCCCAGGCGGCACAUUUAGCAAUUUCUCUACGACCAAUACGGCGUCAGAGCCGCAUCGGUCUAAUGUGCAUCGUUUAGGGCGUGGACUAC
rnacentral:misc_RNA from 1 species